GUUGGAGACCACCUUGGGCCCUGCCAACCCCCUAGCGAGGCCUUUCGGCAUUGUUUUGUGUGGUAAAGGUUACGAAGAGUCUUCCCCGUUCGGAAUUUUGCUGUAAAAAGGGAAAUUACGUGUUGGUGGGAUAUUUUACCACCGUCUACCAGACGGUUUCAUUUCCCUACAGCAUUGGCCGGUGGGCUGUGAGGGGGGUGAUGUGAAAGAAGUGCUGUGAUUGUGGGGCUGUGUCCAGAGGGAGACACUGAAGGCUGAUUUUUGGGACGUUUAAUGAUCCAUUUUAAGUGCAGAAAGGAGUGCUUCUAUAGCAGCACAGUUGCUUUCAUAGAUCUGUUCUUCAUGGCAUUUGAUGACAUCUCAAUUUAGCUACUGUGCGCAUUAAUGAAGACAUGAGCUGUCCCACUCUGUGGCACUUUGACCUCAUCUUCUGCUUUAGAAACAGCACUGUGUUCUCUUGUGUAUCGCCUGACCGCUGCAAGGAUCACUUAAGCAGCGGUGCCCCAGGACCUGGGACACUACUCAGUGCCAUGUGUAGAUAACUAUGACAGUUAACAAAGUGUAUCUGUACUAUUUUAUAAGACUUCGCUAAUAGCACUGUUAUUUUUAGACAUUCUGUUAUGUUUAGAAUCUGGGCAGUAUUUCUCAUUACUGCUUUUCUUGCCCUUAAAUGCAGAGCAAAUGGAGGCCUUGUCCUGGUGAAGAUAAUCUGGAGCCCACUGGGCCAAUAAUGAUCCAGGCUUCUUUUGUUUAAACCCAGGCCUUACCAUGAAGGCGAGUUCUAAAAUUAUUGCAUCAACUACAUUUUGAAAAGAUGAAAGAUGGAGAACCCGUUGCCAGAAGGAUGAAAGAUGGAGAAUCCAUUACCAGAAGGAUGAAAGAUAGAUAAUCCAUUACCAGAAGGAUGAAUGAUGAAGAAUCCAUUACCAGAAGGAGGCUGCUUCAUUCUCCCGUAAAACAAAGUCCUUUCAUGGAGGUGCAGCAGAGAUGACAAGAGCUGUCUGGAUGUGGAGAAUGAUCUCUCUUUUGAAGCAGUCCUGCCUGGAAAGGUUGAGUUGAAUUGGUGCAUGAUGCUGUGUCGAUUCCUUAUUGGAGGGAUCGUAUCUUCAGGUUUGGCAAUUAGGAUAAUAUGUUAAACAUUGUAUUUAGUCAAAAUAAAUACAUAUAAGUUAAAAAAAUAUGGAAGAAAAUUAUUUUCUUGUUGAUAUUGCUUGGAGGAAAGCUUAGCAAUGAAGCUUGUGGCAAUAUCUAGAUUAGACAUGACUGGCAGGUCCAUUUGUUUCAAUAGUACUCUCUGAACAAGGUGAAAACAGCUAUGAACAUGGCUGUAAUUUUGGAGAAAGACAGUAGUGAUCUUCUUUCAAACUUCAUUAGGAAGCCAUUUUCCUAUGGAAAGGAACGUGCAGAGUUAGGGACAGCUUAAAAAUAACAUGUAGGAAAAAUGCACCACUCUACUGGUAUCAGGUGAAACGAGUGCGACACCAUUGUGCAUAAAGGGACAGGUUUUCCAAGCUCUACCUCCAAAAGAUGAAUAGGGCUUUAAAAACAGUAGCUGAAAAUAGCUGCACCUUGCUGAAUGUUUAUUUCCAAGUCAAGACUGUGCCCUGCCUGUGUAAAUAGAAAAUGAAUGUGAACUGCAUCAUUUGGGCCCAUAUCUUCAAGGAAGAUACAAGUACUAUGUUUCUGAUGUAGUAAUAUAUUUGUGAGUAUCUUCCUUUAAGCCUUCUUAUUCUACUGUGAUGAGACAGUAGAAUAUGACAGAAUGUUUCCAGGAGUUGAUACUUCUGUUAAAUAAAAUUGAUUCUAUUUGAAGGAGAUGGAGAGAGAACCCUUUACAGUAAAUCUGAUGCAUCAGAGAUCCACUAUCACCUUUUUUUUACUGCUACUAGACAGAGAAGGGUCAAAACAAGCAAAAAUAAAAAAGGAAAAGCAAGACACUAGAAAAUAAAUGAUGGGAAAAGUAGUAGCAAAUAGGAAAUGGAAGAGAAGUGGAAUGAGAAAGGGGUGGAAAGAGAAAGUAACAUUUACAUAUAAAGAAAGGAAAAAAGUACAGGGAAAUAACUGACAAUGAUGUCACUGAUUCGCAGCUUCCCCUAACUUCAAAUCAAAACAAAAUACUGGCAUGAUGAAACUCUGCAAAGCAAAAGAGACCUCCCCUUCACUGCCAGAAGGGAAUUUCAGCAGCUUGGCAGAAUAAUCCACAGAUCGAAAAUGCUUUCCUCAGCAUUGACUGUUGAUAGAUGGAAGUUGUAGGAUUAUCUCAGUCCAGACAGAAAAGACUUAACCCUGAUUGCACUUACCUGUAAAUUUAAGUAAAACUGAUUUGGGGGAUUAAAUAAUGGCUUUGCAAAAGUACUGAGUUCAGCUGCGAGGAUCACACAUGUAUUCUUCCCUUACUUUGAACUCCAGUAUUUUUGGACCAACUCCUCCAUGGAAGAAGAGUUGCUGCACUAGCCUUAGGGUACCACUUAAGUUUAGAUUUAAUAAUGGGAUUUUUCAUGCCAUGCAGGCAUUAACCUGCUUUGAGCAGGAGACUGGAUCAGAUGAUUUCCUAAGGUCCCUCUCAACCUGAAUUAUCAUGUGAUCCUAUGAUUCGAGGCUAACACUGUGAUUUUGCUGUUACAGGUACAGAAAGUGCCAUUUUAAAAAGAAAGCUGUCUUUAGCAUUGUUCUAUUUAAAGCAGAAGCAAAGCUUUCACUGUAUGUCUCGAAACAUUCCAGACAUCAAAUAUUAAAACCACCAAAUAAAACCUUAAAAAUGGUUUUGAUGGCGUCUGUGACAAUAGUUUCUUUCCCUUAAUGAAACAAAAUCUCCUAAUCUAGACUUUAGUGGAAAAUGAGAAACUUACCCAGCCACCAUUUGCAUCUAUCCAUUCGGCUUUGUUGUUUAUUAUGUACUCUGUGAUGAAAUAAGAAAUCUGCUCCUUUUCCUCUCCAGUGAGCUGAACUCCAUGCUCUUGGAGCUUCUUAGUGAGAAGACCUCCAAAUGUAAAUAUGGUCAUAAUUCGUCCCCAGUUAGUAUUUCCAUCAGCAAAUUUUUCUUCCAUGACACCAUUGAAAAUUCUCUUGGCUACAGCUACAGAGGUAAUGUCAAUCCUGUCCAGGAAUGGUCUGAGAGCCUCCUCGGUUUGAUCUUGCAGUGAAGAUGCAAUGUUUCGCAAGACAUGAGCAACUCUGGUUUGAGCUGGUCCAAGAUGUGACUCCUGAAGCACAUACUGCAGAUAAUCUUGAGCUAAGUAAUAAACGUAGUAGAAGUCAGCAGUUUCCAUUUAGAACAAAAUGCAGAGAGCAGUGCACCACUCUUGAUCAGGGUCAAUAAUGAGCAGGCACAAGACGUGCACACAGCUUUGUAUCGUCUAGUUUUGGUGGAAUUUUUUUUGACUUAACAAUAGUGUGGGUUGUGGAAUAUGUCACAGCGGAAAUGAAAGAAAAAGUGUGUGCUCAAGGGGAGAAACAUGUCUUCCUGAGAGAUUUAUUAGUUCUCUAAAUAGACCAGCUUUUACCAUAUUCUUUAGCAGCAUAAAUUGGCAUUUCCUAGGGACUUUUGCUAUGUAACACUAGCAAAAAUUUGGCAUUUGGCUUACAGAAUUCCAAGAAUGGUGUAUGCUAGCAAAGGUUUGGCAUUUGGCUUACAGAAUUCUGAGAAUGGUGUAUGCUAGCAAAGGUUUGGCAUUUGGCUUACAGAAUUCUGAGAAUGGUGUAUGCUAGCAAAGGUUUGGCAUUUGGCUUGAAAAAACAUACCUAAAAAAUAUAUGCUAUAGGAGCAUGCAGCCCCCUCUCCCUCCCACCUUCCCUUACCCUAAUCUCUUCACUGCUAGGGGUUAAAGUUGCAAUCUGUAUUUCAGGUUAAUGGGUUAUUUCUGGUUCACAGCUUUUUGAAGAUACUGAUAGGUAUUUCCAAUGGCAUGGGAGAAUGGAUAAAGUUUCUUCAGCAUUCAGGAAGCUUUGCAUGACUGCAAGAAGUGGUACAAGUAUGGAUGGAAAAAAGGAGAAAGCCAGCUUUAUAGCAUUAUCCUGUUCCAGACUUUCCCACACUCUCUUGAGUAAAUUUUGAGUGUAACAGGAAGAUGCUCAAGGCUGGUCUUGGCAUACCCCAUCAUCUGGACCUUCAGACCAAGCACUUAGGCUGGCAUCCGCAUCCCUUGGGUAAAUGGGAUUCUGCAAAAUGACAGUGCAGCUUGUGCGGGCAGGGGACAGGCCCCAUCCCAAAAUUGAAGAGAAUGAAGAGAAUGCUACAUACAAGAGCAAAGCACAGUGGAAAGCAGAUUUUAUAAGACAGUGUUUACGAAGAACUUGAAUUACUUACACACCCCAACUUUCUCAUGGCUGAAGCACACAGGAACCCAUCGUACCUUCACAUGUGGGAUGUUAUACUCUAGGCGGUGUGACUUUCAGAAAUACCAGAGUUUUGCUAAGUGAAAUAAAUAAAUUCAGCUGCAGUCUG